UCUGGAUGGUAACUUGGUACUGAGUAGCUGAGAUGCAAGAACUAAUAGAUACGGUCAUUAUUCUCGUAAGUUUUAUUGGUUUUCGGGAAGCGGGGAACGCAACGAAUACAAAUGACCUCUAUGAUAUUAUAGUAUUAGUAAUAACAAUA
ensembl:ncRNA F22E12.7 ncRNA